rnacentral:rRNA from 1 species
GACGAACGCUGGCGGCGUGCCUAAUACAUGCAAGUCGAACGCAUUUUCUUUCACCGUAGCUUGCUACACCGAAAGAAAAUGAGUGGCGAACGGGUGAGUAACACGUGGGUAACCUGCCCAUCAGCGGGGGAUAACACUUGGAAACAGGUGCUAAUACCGCAUAAUUCCAUUUACCGCAUGGUAAAUGGAUGAAAGGCGCUUUUGCGUCACUGAUGGAUGGACCCGCGGUGCAUUAGCUAGUUGGUGGGGUAACGGCCUACCAAGGCUGCGAUGCAUAGCCGCCCUGAGGGGGGGAUGGCCCACACUGGGACUGAGACACGGCCCAGACCCCUACGGGGGGCAGCAGUAGGGAAUUUUGGGCAAGGGACGCAAGUCUGACCGAGCAACCCCGCGUGAGUGAAGAAGGUUUUCGGACCGUAAAACUCUUUUGUUAGGGAAGAACAAGGAUGAGAGGGGAAAGUUCCACCCUUGGCGGUAUUAAACCAGAAAGCCCCGGCUAACUCCGU